UACGGAGGGUGCGAGCGUUGUCCGGAAUCACUGGGCGUAAAGAGCGUGUAGGCGGCCAGGUAGGUCUGCUGUGAAAACUCGAGGCUUAACCUCGAGAUGUCGGCGGAAACCAUCUGGCUAGAGUCCGGAAGAGGAGAGUGGAAUUCCUGGUGGUAGCGGUGAAAUGCGCAGAUAUCAGGAAGAACACCCGUGGCGAAGGCGGCUCUCUGGGACGGUACUGACGCUGAGACGCGAAAGCGUGGGGAGCGAACAGG
rnacentral:rRNA from 1 species